rnacentral:rRNA from 1 species
UCGGGUUGUAAAGCACUUUUGUCCGGAAAGAAAACUUCCGCCCUAAUACGGUGGGAGGCUGACGGUACCGGAAGAAUAAGCACCGGCUAACUACGUGCCAGCAGCGCGGUAAUCGUAGGGUGCGAGCGUUAAUCGGAAUUACUGGGCGUAAAGCGUGCGCAGGCGGUUUGUUAAGACAGAUGUGAAAUCCCCGGGCUUAACCUGGGAACUGCAUUUGUGACUGGCAAGCUAGAGUAUGGCAGAGGGGGGUAGAAUUCCACGUGUAGCAGUGAAAUGCGUAGAGAUGUGGAGGAAUACCGAUGGCGAAGGCAGCCCCCUGGGCCAAUACUGACGCUCAUGCACGAAAGCGUGGGGAGCAAACAGGAUUAGAUACCCUGGUAGUCCACGCCCUAAACGAUGUCAACUAGUUGUUGGGGAUUCAUUUCCUUAGUAACGUAGCUAACGCGUGAAGUUGACCGCCUGGGGAGUACGGUCGCAAGAUUAAAACUCAAAGGAAUUGACGGGGACCCGCACAAGCGGUGGAUGAUGUGGAUUAAUUCGAUGCAACGCGAAAAACCUUACCUACCCUUGACAUGGACGGAACCCUGCUG